GACAGAGGCCUCAAGCGUUAGGCGGAAUCCCUGGGCUUAAAGCGUGUGUAGGCGGAUCGUUAAGUGUCUUGUGAAAUCCCACGGCUCACCCGUGGAACUGCUGGGCAUACUGGCGAUCUUGGGCCAACUAGGGGCAACUGGAACAAGCGGUGGAGCGGUGAAAUGCGUAGAUAUCAGGAGGAACACCCGUGGCGAAGGCGGCUCUCUGGGACGGUACUGACACUGAGACGCGAAAGCGUGGGGAGCGAACAGG
rnacentral:rRNA from 1 species